rnacentral:rRNA from 1 species
AGAGUUUGAUCCUGGCUCAGAAUCAACGCUGGCGGCGUGCCUAACACAUGCAAGUCGAACGAGAAAGUGGUAGCAAUACCAUGAGUAAAGUGGCGCACGGGUGAGUAAUAUAUCGGAACGUACCUUUGAGUGGGGGAUAACUAGUCGAAAGAUUAGCUAAUACCGCAUACGAUCUACGGAUGAAGGUGGGGGAUCGCAAGACCUCAUGCUCAUAGAGCGGCCGAUAUCUGAUUAGCUAGUUGGUGAGGUAAAGGCUCACCAAGGCUUCGAUCAGUAGCUGGUCUGAGAGGACGACCAGCCACACUGGGACUGAGACACGGCCCAGGACUCCUACGGGAGGCAGCAGUGGGGAAUUUUGGACAAUGGGGGCAACCCUGAUCCAGCAAUGCCGCGUGAGUGAAGAAGGCCUUCGGGUUGUAAAGCUCUUUUGUCAGGGA